rnacentral:rRNA from 1 species
AGAUUGAACGCUGGCGGCAUGCCUUACACAUGCAAGUCGAACGGCAGCACGGGAGCAAUCCUGGUGGCGAGUGGCGAACGGGUGAGUAAUAUAUCGGAACGUGCCCAGUCGUGGGGGAUAACGCAGCGAAAGCUGUGCUAGUACCGCAUACGAUCUAUGGAUGAAAGGCGGGGGAUCGCAAAGACCUCGCGCGUAUUGGAGCGGCCGAUAUCAGA